UACAGAGGGUGCAAGCGUUAAUCGGAAUUACUGGGCGUAAAGGGCGCGUAGGCGGCUUGGCAAGUGGAAGGUGAAAUCCCUCGGCUUAACCGAGGAACUGCCCUCCAAACUGCUUCGCUUGAGACCGGGAGAGGUGAGUGGAAUUCCCAGUGUAGCGGUGAAAUGCGUAGAUAUUGGGAGGAACACCAGUGGCGAAGGCGGCUCACUGGACCGGUACUGACGCUGAUGCGCGAAAGCGUGGGGAGCAAACGGG
rnacentral:rRNA from 1 species